rnacentral:rRNA from 1 species
CCUACGGUGUGCUGCAGUGAGGAAUAUUGGUCAAUGAACGCAAGUCUGAACCAGCCAUGCCGCGUGCAGGAAGACGGCUCUAUGAGUUGUAAACUGCUUUUGUACGAGGGUAAAUCCCGAUCCGUGUAUCGGGUGAAAGUAUCGUACGAAUAAGGAUCGGCUAACUCCGUGCCAGCAGCCGCGGUAAUACGGAGGAUUAAAGCGUUAUCCGGAUUUAUUGGGUUUAACGGGUGCGUAGGCGGUUCGAUAAGUUAGAGUGGAAAUCCCGGGGCUCAACUCCGGCACUGCAUCUGAUACUGUCGUGCUAGAGUUUAGUUGCGGUAGGCGGAAUGUAUGGUGUAGCGGUGAAAUGCAUAGAGAUCAUACAGAACACCGAUUGCGAAGGCAGCUUACCAAACUACGACUGACGUUGAGGCACGAAAGCGUGGGGAGCAAACAGGAUUAGAUACCCCGUGUAGUC